GGUCAAGCUACUAAGGGCUUACGGUGGAUGCCUUGGCUUUGACUGGCGAUGAAGGACGCGGCAAGCUGCGAUAAGCCUCGGGGAGCCGCAAGUAGGCUGUGAUCCGGGGAUCUCCGAAUGGGGCAACCCUCCUGCCGUCAUAGGCGGGAACCCGUCGCUGAAUCCAUAGGCGGCGUGGAGCGAACGCGGUGAAGUGAAACAUCUCAGUACCCGCAGGAAGAAAAAUCAAGUACGAGAUUGCCUCAGUAGCGGCGAGCGAACAGGCAACAGUCCAAACCUUGAUGGUGCCAAGCCUCGAUGCGUUGCCGUCAGGGGGUUGUGGGGUCUUCUCGGAGUCCGGUCGAGCGGGCUCGUGGUGUUCCUGGUGAUAGCCGAAGGGUCUGGAACGGCCCACCACAGAUGGUGACAGUCCAGUAGGCGAAAUCAUCUCGGAACAGCAUGGAGAGGAAUCCCCAAGUACCACCGGACACGUGGAACCCGGUGGGAAUCUGGGAGGCCCACCUUCCAAGACUCAAUACACGUCAGAGCCCAAUAGUGAACCAGUACCGUGAGGGAAAGGUGAAAAGAACGGCGGAAGCCGAGUGAAAUAGAACCUGAAACCGUGAGCCUACACAGCAGUCCGAGCCUGCCGCAAGGCGGGUGAGGGCGUGCCUUUUGCAUAAUGAUCCGGCGAGUUACUCGGGCAAGCGAGUCUAAGGCCUGAUGAGGGCCGGAGGCGUAGCGAAAGCGAGUCCUAACCGGGCGCCCAAGCUUGUUCGAGUAGGCCCGAAGCUAGGUGAUCGACCCAUGGCCAGGAUGAACCCCGCGUAACAGCGGGGGGAAGUCCGAACCCAUCAGUGUUGAAAAACUGUGGGAUGAGCUGUGGGUAGGGACGAAAGAUCAAUCAAACCUAGUGAUAGCUGGUUCUCCCCGAAAUAACUCUACGGUUAGCCUCGUGGGUUUGUCGGUGGGGGUAGAGCACUGAAUGGGCUAGGGACCAUACCAGGUUACCGAACCCAAUCAAACUCCGAAUACCACCGGCCCAUACCACGGGAGUCAGCCUGUGCGGGAUAAACUGCACAGACGCGAGGGAAACAACCCAGACCGCCUGCUAAGGUCCCCAAACGUCCGCUAAGUGGGAAAGGAUGUCGGAUUGCACAGACAGCCGGGAUGUUGGCUUAGAGGCAGCCAUCAUUUAAAGAGUGCGUAACAGCUCACCGGUCGAGCGAUCCGGCACCGACAAUGAUCGGGGCUCAAGCGGACUACCGACGCAGUGGAUGAUCUCAUCCUUCGGGAUGGGGUCGUGGUAGGGGAGCGUUCCGCGGUAGGAUGAAGGUCUCUCGUGAGAGAGGCUGGACGAAGCGGAAGUGAGAAUGUCGGAAUGAGUAGCGAUAAACUCCGUGAGAAACGGAGUCGCCGAAAGCCUAAGGGUUCCUGGGGAAGGUUAAUCCGCCCAGGGUGAGUCGGUCCUAAGCUGAGGCCGCAUGGCGUAAGCGAUGGACAAGCCGUUAACAUUCGGCUACCACGGACGGCGCGUUGAUACGUCUGGUGACGCAGGAAGCUACACCAUCCGGGCAGUGGUUGUCCCGGUCUAAGCCUGUAGCUCCGCCGCAAGGCGGGGUGAAGGGCGACGGGGAGCUGCGACUACGGUCAAGGUAAACUGGUGGAGGCUCAACUGCCAAGAAAAGCCAGGCGUGAAGUGUCGUUCGUGACCGUACCGCAAUCCGACACAGGUAGGCUGGUCGAACAGACUAAGGCGCUCGAGUGACCCCCCGUUAAGGAACUCGGCAACUUGGCCCCGUAACUUCGGAAGAAGGGGUGUCUUGUCCCGUGAAGUCCCUCGUGGAUGGAGCGGGAUGAGAUCACAGUAAAGAGGCCCAAGCGACUGUUUAGUAAAAACACAGGUCUGUGCGAAGCUGCGAAGGCGCGGUAUACAGACUGACACCUGCCCAAUGCUGGAAGGUUAAGGCAAGGCGUCAUCCCGCCGCAAGGCGGGAGAAGCGUCGACCCGAAGCCCCAGUGAAUGGCGGCCGUAACUAUAACGGUCCUAAGGUAGCGAAAUUCCUUGUCGGGUAAGUUCCGACGCGCACGAAUGGUGUAACGACUUGGGCGCUGUCUCAACGGGGGACUCGGCGAAAUUGUGGUCGCAGUGAAGACGCUGCGUGCCCGCAUGUAGACGAAAAGACCCCAGAACCUUUACUGCAACCUGGUAUUGAACAGGUGACUGAGCUGUGUAGGAUAGGUGGGAGGCGUCGAUCCCCGGCCGCUAGGUCGGGGGGAGCCAACGGUGAAAUACCACCCUGCUUAACCGCGUGUUCUCACGUCGAAUCUCUGAACCGAGACGACGGACAGUGCCAGGUGGGCAGUUUGACUGGGGCGGUUCCCUCCUAAAGGGUAACGGAGGGGCCCAAAGGUGCCCUCAGCGCGGUCGGCAAUCGCGCGUCGAGUGUAAAGGCAGAAGGGCGCUUAACUGCGAGAGCGGCAGCUCGAGCAGGGACGAAAGUCGGGCUUAAUGAUCCGGCGGUGGAAGGUGGUAUCGCCGUCGCUCAACGGAUAAUAGGUACUCUGGGGAUAACAGGCUUAUCGGAUCUGAGAGUUCACAUCGACGAUCCGGUUUGGCACCUCGAUGUCGGCUCAUCGCAUCCUGCGGCUGGAGAAGGUCGCAAGGGUCCGGCUGUUCGCCGGUUAAAGCGGUACGCGAGCUGGGUUUAGAACGUCGUGAGACAGUUCGGUCUCUAUCUCAUGUGGGCGGAGGAGAUUUGAGGAGAGCUCCCUACAGUACGAGAGGACCUAGGGGGACGGACCUCCGGUGUCCCAGUUGUCCUGCCAAGGGCAUCGCUGGGUAGCCGUGUCCGGAGAGGAUAAGCGCUGAAUGCAUCUAAGUGCCAAGCCUCCUCCAAGAUAAGAUCUCCCGGGCGCAAGCCCCUGAAGGCCCCUGGCAGACUACCAGGUUGAUAGGCCGCAGGUAUAAGGCCCGCAAGGGCUUCAGCCAAGCGGUACUAAUCGGCCGUGCGGCUUGACCAC
rnacentral:rRNA from 1 species